rnacentral:rRNA from 1 species
GACGAACGCUGGCGGCGUGCCUAAUACAUGCAAGUCGAACGCUUCUUUCCUCCCGAGUGCUUGCACUCAAUUGGAAAGAGGAGUGGCGGACGGGUGAGUAACACGUGGGUAACCUACCCAUCAGAGGGGGAUAACACUUGGAAACAGGUGCUAAUACCGCAUAACAGUUUAUGCCGCAUGGCAUAAGAGUGAAUGGCGCUUUCGGGUGUCGCUGAUGGAUGGACCCGCGGUGCAUUAGCUAGUUGGUGAGGUAACGGCUCACCAAGGCCACGAUGCAUAGCCGACCUGAGAGGGUGAUCGGCCACACGGGGACUGAGACACGGCCCAGACUCCUACGGUAGGCAGCAGUAGGGAAUCUUCGGCAAUGGACGAAAGUCUGACCGAGCAACGCCGCGUGAGUGAAGAAGGUUUUCGGAUCGUAGAACUCUGUUGUUAGAGAAGAACAAGGACGUUAGUAACUGAACGUCCCCUGACGGUACCUAAACAGAAAGCCACGGCUAACUACGUG